GCUUCUCUAAACCUAAUUCGGCGCUGCCCUCUCCCACAUGCGAUGCUCUUGUGGCAUCGCUGCGCCGACUGCCUACAAAGCCCUACCGCCACGCCGCUCUUCUCUGCCCUUCGCAUCGCAAUCACCCGGAGCCACUUCUUUGUCGUGCCACUGCACAACCGUUCUCCCCUCCACGCAUGCGAUGCCAUGUCGGGUGCUGCUGCACCUCUUCGUCGGAGACGUCUUCUUCCUCUUUUUUUUUUUUUUUUGAGUGGCGUCCACUGUCGUCAGUAUCCAGCCGUGACCUAACAACCCCAACUGAGGUUACCUCAUUCUAGCAGCGUGAUCGUUGCUGGUGUCCCCGCCUAUUGAUCAUUGCUUCGCCUGAUCAGUUAUCGACCGCCGACCACGGACCACCAACCUCCAACCAUUAGCUUCUGUACUCGAUCCUGUGUCAUCGUCGGCUGCGUGGCCAUGGGGAGCAACUGUCGGAGAUGGAGAUGAUCAACCAAUGGUUGGGUAACAAGACUUGAGUUUGAGUCAGACUUUGGACUUGAAGACGGUUCGGAUACUCUGCAUUCGAGGCGAGUACUUCUUGCUUUGUUUUCUUUUAGUACUUUGACCUUAGUGCAUGAAUUAUUUUGGAUAAGAACUGUUUACCUUGACUCCA